AACGAACGCUGGCGGCAUGCCUAACACAUGCAAGUCGAACGAGAUCUUCGGGUCUAGUGGCGCACGGGUGCGUAACGCGUGGGAAUCUGCCCUUUGGUUCGGAAUAACAGUUGGAAACGACUGCUAAUACCGGAUGAUGACGAAAGUCCAAAGAUUUAUCGCAAUAGGAUGAGCCCGCGUAGGAUUAGCUAGUUGGGGUGGUAAAGGCGCACCAAGGCGACGAUCCUUAGCUGGUCUGAGAGGAUGAUCAGCCACACUGGGACUGAGACACGGCCCAAACUCCUACGGGAGGCAGCAGGGGGGAAUAUUGGACAAUGGGCGAAAGCCUGAUCCAGCAAUGCCGCGUGAGUGAUGAAGGCCUUAGGGUUGUAAAGCUCUUUUACCCGGGAUGAUAAUGACAGUACCGGGAGAAUAAGCUCCGGCUAACUCCGUGCCAGCCGCCGCAGUAA
rnacentral:rRNA from 1 species